CAAAUGUUUGCCUGUUUUCAUUUUUAGCCAUUUAGUUCUCGUGGCUCUGUUCCAGGACUCUUUAAUUUGCCAGUAGCUGUUUUUCCUAUACAGAUUACAGGAGUAAUUCAUCAGUGAAUGUUUCACUCAGUGGUCUCAUCUAAUAACUGUUCUUCAGAGUCAUAUUUGCUCUCAGAGCUUAAUUUCUCCACCAAGAACAGAGAGAACUUUCCUGUUGAAAAAAUAUGUUUUUCCCACUCUUUUCCCCAGAGGGAAUACUGAGAGGAAUAGCUCCAAGAGCAGCAUGCUGGAGCAAAGAAAUUUGACCAAGAAGGCUGGCCCAGGAUUCACCAUCCC
rnacentral:lncRNA from 1 species